GACGAACGCUGGCGGCGUGCUUAACACAUGCAAGUCGAGCGGUAAGGCCCUUCGGGGUACACGAGCGGCGAACGGGUGAGUAACACGUGGGUGACCUGCCUCUAGCUCUGGGAUAAGCCUGGGAAACUGGGUCUAAUACCGGAUAUGACUCCACGGCGCAUGUUGUGGGGUGGAAAGCCUUGUGUGGCUAGAGAUGGGCCCGCGGCCUAUCAGCUUGUUGGUGGGGUGAUGGCCUACCAAGGCGACGACGGGUAGCCGGCCUGAGAGGGCGACCGGCCACACUGGGACUGAGACACGGCCCAGACUCCUACGGGAGGCAGCAGUGGGGAAUCUUGCGCAAUGGGCGAAGGCCUGACGCAGCGACGCCGCGUGAGGGAUGACGG
rnacentral:rRNA from 1 species